rnacentral:rRNA from 1 species
UACGGAGGGUGCAAGCGUUAUCCGGAUUCACUGGGUUUAAAGGGUGCGUAGGUGGGAAUGUAAGUCAGUGGUGAAAUCUCCGUGCUUAACAUGGAAACUGCCAUUGAUACUAUGUUUCUUGAAUUUUCUGGAGGUCAGCGGAAUAUGUCAUGUAGCGGUGAAAUGCUUAGAUAUGACAUAGAACACCAAUUGCGAAGGCAGCUGACUACAGGGAUAUUGACACUGAGGCACGAAAGCGUGGGGGAUCAAACAGG